UACGAAGGGGGCUAGCGUUGCUCGGAAUCACUGGGCGUAAAGCGCACGUAGGCGGAUUGUUAAGUCAGGGGUGAAAUUCUGGAGCUCAACUCCAGAACUGCCUUUGAUACUGGCGAUCUCGAGUCCGGGAGAGGUGAGUGGAACUGCGAGUGUAGAGGUGAAAUUCGUAGAUAUUCGCAAGAACACCAGUGGCGAAGGCGGCUCACUGGCCCGGUACUGACGCUGAGGUGCGAAAGCGUGGGGAGCGAACAGG
rnacentral:rRNA from 1 species